rnacentral:rRNA from 1 species
UACAGAGGGUGCGAGCGUUAAUCGGAAUUACUGGGCGUAAAGGGCGCGUAGGUGGUGAGAUGUGUGUGAUGUGAAAGCCCCGGGCUUAACCUGGGAAGGGCAUCGCAAACUAUCUUGCUGGAGUACAGGAGAGGGUGGCGGAAUUUCCAGUGUAGCGGUGAAAUGCGUAGAUAUUGGAAGGAACGUCAGUGGCGAAGGCGGCCACCUGGACUGAUACUAACACUGAGGCGCGAAAGCGUGGGGAGCAAACAGG